rnacentral:rRNA from 1 species
UACGUAGGGUGCAAGCGUUGCUCGGAAUCAUUGGGCGUAAAGAGUGCGCAGGCGGUGAUGUAAGACAGAUGUGAAAUCCCCGGGCUCAACCUGGGAACUGCAUUUGUGACUGCAUCGCUGGAGUGCGGCAGAGGGGGAUGGAAUUCCGCGUGUAGCAGUGAAAUGCGUAGAUAUGCGGAGGAACACCGAUGGCGAAGGCAAUCCCCUGGGCCUGCACUGACGCUCAUGCACGGAAGCGUGGGGAGCAAACAGG